rnacentral:rRNA from 1 species
AUUGAACGCUGGCGGCAUGCCUUACGCAUGCAAGUCGAACGGUAACAGGUCUUCGGAUGCUGACGAGUGGCGAACGGGUGAGUAAUACAUCGGAACGUGCCCGAGAGUGGGGGAUAACGAGGCGAAAGCUUUGCUAAUACCGCAUACGAUCUCAGGAUGAAAGCAGGGGACCGCAAGGCCUUGCGCUCACGGAGCGGCCGAUGGCAGAUUAGGUAGUUGGUGGGAUAAAAGCUUACCAAGCCGACGAUCUGUAGCUGGUCUGAGAGGACGACCAGCCACACUGGGACUGAGACACGGCCCAGACUCCUACGGGAGGCAGCAGUGGGGAAUUUUGGACGAUGGGCGCAAGCCUGAUCCAGCCAUGCCGCGUGCAGGAUGAAGGCCUUCGGGUUGUAAACUGCUUUUGUACGGAACGAAAAGACUCUGGUUAAUACCUGGGGUCCAUGACGGUACCGUAAGAAUAAGCACCGGCUAACUACGUGCCAGCCGCCGCAGUAAGAC